rnacentral:tRNA from 1 species
GCCUGGGUAGCUCAGUGGUAGAGCGCGGGCCUGAAGAGCCCGGCGUCGGGGGUUCGAUUCCCUCCCCAGGCACAA